CGCCGUACGGCCCCGUCAACGUCUGCUCGUCCCAUUAAGUUGCGAGCGAAGAGCUCGCCCCUCAAGACGGAGUGAGCUCUUUUCGCAAAACCGAUACAAGUUGGCGCAGAUUAGAAUUCUUUCUUCUUGGCUCUCGCACAGUUCUCUGCUCCGAGAAGACAACUGCGUCGCUGGGGAAUCGGUGGUUGUGCUUUCUGACAAUUGCUGACCGCUCUAGGCUGUUCAGGCGCGACGUGCGCGGACUAUGGCAAUGCGGCCUACCGUUUCAGAGUAAGUCGCCACACGACGUAUUCCUACGANUGCCUGUUUAAUGAAGUUUACCCAAGUGCCGUCCGCAUGAUUCUGCGCGGAAUCAAAGCCG
rnacentral:misc_RNA from 1 species